UGUAUUUUAGUGUAAGAAGCACUAAAGUUUUUGAAACUUUCAGAGACAGUUUAAUUCUGUUAAAUACAA
rnacentral:tRNA from 1 species